AAGAAAACUGGAUAUUGCAGGAGCAGGAGAAGCUCGCUAUGGUUGUUUAUCAACAGCCUACGGAAGAAGAUGCUGACCAAGUCGAAUUUUCUCCAUUGAUGAUGGUGAGGCCAGAGAGCGAGGAGACUGCCCAAGAAAGGCGUCCAGCCUUUCGUUACGAUCAACGACCAGAGAUAACUAAAUUUUAUACAAGAAGAGCGAGACCAGCAGGUUCGAAGCCUGCCAAGAGCAAGAUAGAGCA